rnacentral:rRNA from 1 species
AUUGAACGCUGGCGGCGUGCUUAACACAUGCAAGUCGAACGAGAACGGAUUAUAGCUUGCUAUAAUUGUCAGCUAAGUGGCGCACGGGUGAGUAAUGUAUAGAUAACCUGCCCUCUAGAAAGGAAUAACAGUUGGAAACGACUGCUAAUGCCCUAUAUGCCUUUAAUACAUAAGUAUGCAAGGGAAACGCUUUAGUGCUAGAGGAUGGGUCUGUAUGGUAGCAGUUAGUUGGUGAGGUAAUGGCUCACCAAGACUAUGACGCCUAACUGGUUUGAGAGGAUGAUCAGUCACACUGGAACUGAGACACGGUCCAGACUCCUACGGGAGGCAGCAGUGGGGAAUAUUGCACAAUGGACGAAAGUCUGAUGCAGCAACGCCGCGUGGAGGAUGACACAUUUCGGUGCGUAAACUCCUUUUAUAUAGGAAGAUAAUGACGGUACUAUAUGAAUAAGCACCGGCUAACUCCGUGCCAGCCGCCGCGGUAA